CUAAUGCAUGAUCUGGCCUACAUUCGUUGCACGUUUCCUCUUCUUCAUUCUAAAGCCUUUUUCUUUUUAUUUUUCUUCUCUUCUCUCUUUCACCUUCGUGCCUCCAUCUCUUCUCUCUCUGAAAAAACCCUAGCCUCUCUCUCUAUCUCUAUCUGUCUGUGUCUCACGCCGAGGCACCGCCACCAUCAACCCACAUCCUCACACCAUCACCAAGCCCUUACUCUCUGUUCGAACCCCCUCUGCCGCAAGCUUCUCCGGCCCAACCUCUUGGCAGCCGCCGCUGCUCUCUCCUCUCUUCUAGGUCUCACUUUCUCUGGCUAAUUCUCGGUCAAGGAGAAACCACAUCUCGCCGCCGGCCACCACAGUUCCAGUUCCGGUCGUCUUCUCUAGCCAAAAAUUUCAGGCCGAGUCUCUCUCUCUCGGUUUUCUCAUCUUUCUAUCGGCGACUCCUCCCUAAUCUAGCGACUCAUCCCUAAUCUAUACAAUCAUUGAAUGCUACCAGGCAGAGUAUUGGUUUUUGACGAAGCUGUAACUGCCUAACAAUGUCUUCGAGUCUUUGUGUUCGUCAGUUCCAGUCUUAGAGAUUGUUCGUGCCGAGCAGAGACAGUCAUUCAUUCUUCCGACUCUACAAUCGAGGGGUAUCACAGAGCAGAUGUGACAUCAUCAGCCAGUGAGUGUUUUGAAGUUCCACCAAAAGUGGUCAAGUUGGUUUCAGGAAGAAUGGUGUUUCCAUUAUCUUUAUCACAUUCAAAUCACUAUGCAUCAAUGCGUGCAGUUCUUAUUGGUGAUUCAGUGCACGCUGUUCAUCCCUUGGCUGGUUAAGGAGUGAAUUUGGGCUUUGGGGAUGCUUUUGCUCUAUCAAAAGUGAUUGCUGAGGGUGUUGCAGUAGGAUCCAACAUUGAGGAGAAUGUGAUUGAAGGAUCGAUUGUUACCGUCAAAAUAUUGUACGAACAAGGAGGAGCUAAUAUAUAUUCAAAAUUGAUGGUUAUAUUCUUAUUUUGCAAAAGAUUGAUUGUUUCUUUUCGAAUUUAGUGGUUUAGUUUUUAUUCCUUGUUGACGUCAUCAUAUUGGAUGAUUCGGAACUUUUUUAGUAUUCAUAGUGGCUUUAAUUUUUUUUUUUUUUUUUUGAUGCAGUACUAGACUUAUGUUUUUGGUUUAAGAAAAAGUAAUGGAUUUUUGUUAUUCUUAUUAAUACAUGUUAUGUUGUAUGUGGUUA